rnacentral:rRNA from 1 species
AUACGUACCGGACAAACGUUAUUCGGAAUCACUGGGCUUAAAGAGUACGUAGGCUGCCCUGAAGGUGAGAUGUGAAAUCCCACGGCUCAACCGUGGAACUGCAUUUCAAACCACAAGGCUUGAGGGAGACAGGGGUAAGCGGAACUGAUGGUGGAGCGGUGAAAUGCGUUGAUAUCAUCAGGAACACCGGUGGCGAAGGCGGCUUACUGGGUCUCUUCUGACGCUGAGGUACGAAAGCUAGGGUAGCGAACGGGAUUAGAAACCCCGGUAGUCC